UACGUAGGGUGCAAGCGUUAAUCGGAAUUACUGGGCGUAAAGCGUGCGCAGGCGGUUUUGUAAGUCUGUCGUGAAAUCCCCGGGCUCAACCUGGGAAUUGCGAUGGAGACUGCAAGGCUAGAAUCUGGCAGAGGGGGGUAGAAUUCCACGUGUAGUAGUGAAAUGCGUAGAGAUGUGGAGGAACACCGAUGGCGAAGGCAGCCCCCUGGGUCAAGAUUGACGCUACAUGCACGAAAGCGUGGGGAGCAAACGAGGAU
rnacentral:rRNA from 1 species